rnacentral:rRNA from 1 species
UAGGGAAUCUUCGGCAAUGGGGGGAACCCUGACCGAGCAACGCCGCGUGAGUGAAGAAGGUUUUCGGAUCGUAAAGCUCUGUUGUUAAGGAAGAACGAGUGUGAGAAUGGAAAGUUCAUACUGUGACGGUACUUAACCAGAAAGGGACGGCUAACUACGUGCCAGCAGCCGCGGUAAUACGUAGGUCCCGAGCGUUGUCCGGAUUUAUUGGGCGUAAAGCGAGCGCAGGCGGUUAGAUAAGUCUGAAGUUAAAGGCAGUGGCUCAACCAUUGUAGGCUUUGGAAAGUGUUUAACUUGAGUGCAGAAGGGGAGAGUGGAAUUCCAUGUGUAGCGGUGAAAUGCGUAGAUAUAUGGAGGAACACCGGGGGCGAAAGCGGCUCUCUGGUCUGUAACUGACGCGGAGGCUCGAAAGCGUGGGGAGCAAACAGG